rnacentral:rRNA from 1 species
ACGGAGGGGACUAGCGUUGUUCGGAAUUAUUGGGCGUAAAGGGCGCGUAGGCGGCUUGAUAAGUCAAAGGUGAAAUCCCUCGGCUCAACUGAGGAACUGCCUUUGAAACUGUCUGGCUUGAGGCCGGGAGGGGGUAGCGGAAUUCCCAGUGUAGCGGUGAAAUGCGUAGAUAUUGGGAGGAACACCGGUGGCGAAGGCGGCUACCUGGACCGGUUCUGACGCUGAGGAGCGAAAGCGUGGGGAGCGAACAGGA